rnacentral:rRNA from 1 species
UACAGAGGGGGCAAGCGUUGUUCGGAAUUACUGGGCGUAAAGGGCGCGUAGGCGGCCUGUUAAGUCGAACGUGAAAUCCCCGGGCUCAACCCGGGAACUGCGUCCGAUACUGGCAGGCUUGAAUCCGGGAGAGGGAUGUGGAAUUCCAGGUGUAGCGGUGAAAUGCGUAGAGAUUAGGAAGAACACCAGUGGCGAAGGCGACUUACUGGACUGUAACUGACGCUGAGGCAUGAAAGCGUGGGGAGCAAACAGG